AUUGAACGCUGGCGGCAGGCCUAACACAUGCAAGUCGAGCGGAGCGGCGGACGGGGGAGUAAUGCCUAGGAAUCUGCCUGGUAGUGGGGGAUAACGUCCGGAACCGGGCGCUGAUACCGCAUACUAUCGGAUGCGCCUAGGUCGGAUUAGCUAGUGGGUGGGGUAAAGGCCUACCAAGGCGACGAUCCGUAACUGGUCUGAGAGGAUGAUCAGUCACACUGGAACUGAGACACGGUCCAGACUCCUACGGGAGGCAGCAGUGGGGAAUAUUGGACAAUGGGCGAAAGCCUGAUCCAGCCAUGCCGCGUGUGUGAAGAAGGCCUUCGGAUUGUAAAGCACUUUAAGUUGGGAGGCGUUACCAGCAGAAGAAGCACCGGCUAACUUCGUGCCAGCAGCCGCGGUAAUAC
rnacentral:rRNA from 1 species